GGAUGCGAUCAUACCAGCACUAAAGCACCGGAUCCCAUCAGAACUUCAAAGUUAAGCGUGCUUGGGCGAGAGUAGUACUAGGAUGGUUGACCUCCUGGGAAGUCCACGUGUUGCAUUCC
rnacentral:rRNA from 16 species